rnacentral:rRNA from 1 species
UACGUAGGGCGCAAGCGUUGUCCGGAAUUAUUGGGCGUAAAGAGCUCGUAGGCGGUUUGUCGCGUCUGCUGUGAUAACCUGAGGCUCAACCUCGGGCUUGCAGUGGGUACGGGCAGACUAGAGUGCGGUAGGGGUGACUGGAAUUCCUGGUGUAGCGGUGGAAUGCGCAGAUAUCAGGAGGAACACCGAUGGCGAAGGCAGGUCACUGGGCCGCAACUGACGCUGGAGGAGCGAAAGCGUGGGGAGCGAACAGG